AUAAUUUAGGGGUCUGAUAAUGUUGAUAUAGAUAUAUAAUAUAGACGUUCACUUUAAGGAUUGAUAAUGCACUUUUGUUUGCUUUUUCACAGAUGUUCACAGCUUCUUCGUUUUGUCCUUGGGAAUCAGACAGAAGACUGAUAAGACCAGUUGAAAAUAGACUUUUCUACUAAACCAGUUUGAACUGACCAGAGACUCUUGGGGAAGGUUUUUCUGCCAGUCACGUGAUGUAACCCCCCAUUUAACUGUUCCCAUGCUAUAAAGAAGAUAUGGACUUUGAUUGGACUAAAACUAUACGAUCACACCUUUAUCACGCCUAGAAUACAGUUGAUACAUACCCAUAUCUUAUGAAUAUUCAUACGUAUAAAUUGUUUUCCCCUGUAGUUGUAAGCUCAGAAACACUUUCACUUUUACUCGCUUAUAGUAGCCGAGAUCUGUGUUGUCUUUCUCCAUUGCAAUGUCUUAAUUAAAGCACCUACUUAUUAUCUUUAUCUACCAUCUAAUCUGAUCGUCUUAAUUAAGACCCCCAAAUUGGAUUUAACAGUUGGUGCCUGUGACUCGGAUUCAGUUCCGUUGGACUUCCGACCAAAGAGACGGGAAACCCAUGUUGGGCAGAACCAGUGGCCACGAUGUUCACAGCUUCUUCGUUUUGUCCUUGGGAAUCAGACAGAAGACUGAUAAGACCAGUUGAAAAUAGACUUUUCUACUAAACCAGUUUGAACUGACCAGAGACUCUUGGGGAAGGUUUUUCUGCCAGUCACGUGAUGUAACCCCCCAUUUAACUGUUCCCAUGCUAUAAAGAAGAUAUGGACUUUGAUUGGACUAAAACUAUACGAUCACACCUUUAUCACGCCUAGAAUACAGUUGAUACAUACCCAUAUCUUAUGAAUAUUCAUACGUAUAAAUUGUUUUCCCCUGUAGUUGUAAGCUCAGAAACACUUUCACUUUUACUCGCUUAUAGUAGCCGAGAUCUGUGUUGUCUUUCUCCAUUGCAAUGUCUUAAUUAAAGCACCUACUUAUUAUCUUUAUCUACCAUCUAA